GACGUGGUGCUGGCCGCUGGGCGAGAUGUUUCCGGCUGCGGGAGCCGCCGUCGCUGCGCUGCCUGUGCUCUGGCUGCUCCCCGGGGCUCUGCUGCGUGCCGGGCACGAGGGCCGCUCGAGCACAGGACGGCUGGCGUCUGGGCAGCCGCGUCUCGGGGGAACCGGCCGACGUCACGGCUGCUCCGCCGCGGCUCCCACCCUGCACCGGAGAGCGACGAGGUGCUGCGGUUGUACCGCAGACGUGGGCAGCGCGCGUGCUGCAGCAAAACAACCCACGGGACGGCCCGGCCCUGGACGUAAGGACUUUGCUUCCUGGAAACACAGAGCCGUCCCUGAAGGACAAAGGAGCCCCCGGGCAUCCGAGGUAACGCCGCCACCCCAGCCCCUCUGACGCGGCUUUGAAACCCUCCCGGCGUGGCUGACGUCGCAGAGAAGCGACUCUGGCACGACGGACUCCGGAGGCGUCUGGAUCGACGGAGGAGCAGCAGAGAGGUGUCUGGAUCAACGCACGAGCGGCAAGAACGCUGCCGAAACAGCGCUGCUUGGCCGAGGGUUUCUGUGCUCGGUGAUGGGCAGCGUGGGUGCCAGCGAUCAGUCCAACGUGUCGGACCUGAGCGUUUGAAGGGUGCAAGGACCCCGGCUCCAGAUGCGCUGCGGUGGGAGCAGAGGCCGCUUCAGGGACCCGCACCAGCUCCUGCAGCCCCGUUGGUGAAGCCGGCCUGGCCAGGGAGGAGCGGCGAUGGCCGUCCCGGUGCUGCCGGUCCCUGGGAGGUGUUGGCGGCGCCGGCGACGCCGCGCGGCUGUGCCGACACGUGGGGAAGGCUCAUCCCGAUGCCCGGGCGAGGAGCACGGCCCCGAGGCAGCGAGCGCCGAGGGAUGCAGCGGGGAGGAUGUGCCCGGUGAGGGAUGGACAGAUGGACGGAUGGACAGAGGAGCCCCAGCCGUGCCGGGAGCCGCGUGGGGUGCGGAGCCCCGGGAAGAAGCCGGGCUGCCUGCGCCGAGGCCGACGCUGCCGCCUGCCCUGCACGUGGCCCCGUCCUGCCUGGGGACGGCCCUGCCUGCGCCCGCCCGGAGACGCUGCAGGACUGCGCGGCUCCAGCUUGAGGUCCAGCUCAUGGAUGGCUCCAGGUCAGUUUAUGGCCCCAGCUCAUUUGCAGCUCCAGCCGGUUGUGGUUCCAGCUUCUUUACAGCUCCAGCCGGUUGUGGUUCCAGCUUCUUUACAGCUCCAGGUAGGUUGUUUCUGCCCCUGUUUUGUUUCUGUUCCAGCUGAUUUGCAGCUUCAGCUCAUUGUUUCUGCACCCAUUUGUUUCAGGUCCAGCUCCUGGACAGCUCCAGUUCAGUUUUGGCCCCAGCUCAUUUGAGAUUCCCAUCUCAGGCCCAGCUCAUUGACAGCUCCAGCUCGUUUGCAGGUGCAGCCCAUGGAUGACUCUUGAUCAUUUCAGCUCCAGCUGGUUGUGGUUCCAGCUUCUUUGCAGCUCCAGGUCCGGCUCCAGUUCAGUUUUGGCCCCAGCUCAUUUGUGGUUCUCAUCUCAGGCCCAGCUCAUGGAUGACUCUUGAUCAUUUCAGCUCCAGUUGGUUGUGGUUCCAGCUCGUUUGCAGCUUCAGUUCCAGCUCAUCUCCUCUCCAGUGCAGUUGGUCUCCAGCUCCAUUUGGUGCCUCAGCUCCUCUCCAACUGAUUCCCAGUUCCGGGGUGUCUGUGCCUCCAGCUCCAGCCCAGUAGAGCUCGUGCUUGUUCCAGUGAUCCUGGCUUUUGGCCAGGCCGUAAAUCAAUCACUGUCACCUCUUGCAUAUGAAUAUGACCUGUCAUAACUGUGCGCGCGUUGAGUCAGUGGUUUGUGUUCAGUGUUUAUUACGUGUGUACCUUGAAUAAAGAGUUGGACGAAG